CGCCCUGAGAAGAUGGCGGCCCCCUCCCUCUUUCCCUCCCUCAGUCCGUCCACCCCGAGCCCCGAGAGGAGAGGAGGUGGCAGGCGCCGGCUAGGAUUUCCAGUGUCCACAGCAUGGAUGUAAAGAACAAACCCAAGACAAGCUGCUAAGCCCAACCUGUACUAUCUAAGCCUGCUGCAUGCUGGAGCUGUGAUCAUUGUUAUCUUAUACAGCUGUCUCCACCAAAGCAGACAAACCUAAUGAGAGGAGAUCGUCUCCAUCUCUGCUCACUCCUCAAAAGAACACCUCAAGGCUGGCUCCCUAAUUCUUCUUGUUUUUUGUCAGAAUACAUGGAAAAGAAUCUUAACAUGAAAUCAUUGUUUGAA